rnacentral:lncRNA from 1 species
UUUUUUUUUCUUUUUCUUUUUAGGGCCACACCUUUGGCAUAUGGAGGUUCCCAGGCUAGAGGUCCAAGAGGAGCUGUAGCCACUGGCCUACACCACAGCCACAGCAACACAGGAUCCGAACCACGUCUGAGACCUACACCGCAUCUCACGGCAAUGACCAAUCCUUAACCCACUGAGCAAGGUCAGGGAUCGAACCUGCAUCCUCGUGGAUGCUAGUCAGAUUUGUUAACCACUGAGCCACGACGGGAACUCCUAAUAAGCCAAUUUCUGCUUAUAAUCAGGAGUGCUCGCAGGAGGAAAUGUGGGGAGGGAAACACCACCCCAAGUAAGAAUAGGGAGUGGACAAAGAUGAACAUACUAAUUAAUUAAUUCUGGAAUAUUUCUGGAGCGCAUGCUCUGGCCAGCUCUUCUAGACAGUAGCAUCAGGGUGAAGGAGGCAGAAAGGUCCUGACUCUCAGGAAGCUGUAUUCCAAUAAGAGAGUCGGCAGAGAAAAAGCAAGCAAGCAAACACAAAACAAGCUACGUCGAGCUCCCACAGUGGGCACACAUAGGCUUUUGUUUUCCCCGUUUUCCUGUUUUGAAGCUGCAGCCCUGUUGGCUGCAAACUCAGUGUUAAUCCAGGGAGAAUACUGGCAUGAGUGAAAGAAAAAAGGUAGGGUCUCCAGCAGGACAAGAUACACAGUUUCAGACCAGGGGCACGUGAAGAGAUGUUGGUUCUUUAUAUUCUGGGCAAAGUCACAGCAUGAUGACAUGUUUAGGAGCCAGAGUACGGAGGGAAUGAGAGAUCCAGAGAAAUGAUUUUCCAGUUACAGAAGGCUUUCUAGCCUUGGCUUGGAAUUCUGGCUGAAAUCUUAAAAGCCUGUGUCAUUUUGAGUUCCUCUCCAUUUUUCCAAAUGCCGAAAACUGAACAAAUAAUUUCAGUUUUAAAAUUGUUCAUACUUCAUCCCUCAUGGUGGAUCACUUCCUCCGGGAAGCCUCCCAUCACCCAGUGAGGUCAACGCCCCCCUUCUCUGCAGCUCUGGCUUCCGUAACUCCACACAGCACUUUCAUGAUACACCAUCAUCCGUGACUUACUGGUCUGUCCCCCACGAGAGGAGGAGCAUCCCCAGGCCAGGGCUAUGCUUUAUUCGAUUUUGAAUCCUCCAAAACCUAAGUAUCAUGGAGGGACACAUGGUAAGUACUCAAUAAAGGCUUAUUUACAAGAUUGCAUCUCACUGGCCAAACAUGUAUCCAUAGCCAAUGCAGUAGAUGGGCUGAAGGAGGUCCUGGUGAGGUGAGGUUUUCAUCCAAAUAAAAUCUACAUUAAAAAUGGAUAGUUUCCUCUUGACCAGACUAUACUCGCAUCAACCAAAACAUUACAAAUGAAAAAUAAGAGAAGGGCAGGCAGCCACACUAAGAGACAUAUCUGUCAAUUCAUGUAGGAACCUAAUUUGAAUCCUGGUUCAUGCACAAAAGUAUUUGGUAAAAACAGUAUCAGGUAAUAGAGGGUAUGUAAUCACUGACUGAAUGUUGACUCUUUCAUAAUUAUUUCUUUUUCAGGUGUGAUCAUGAUCCUGUGGUUUUUAAAAAGAGUUAUACUCUUUUACUGACAUAUAUGGAAAUAUUUAUAGAUGACAUGAUAUGCCAGGGAACUUCAUUCAAAAUCAUGUGGAGAAGGGUGGAGCCAUAGUUUGGGAAGUGAGUGGUAUGGAUGAAAUAACAUCAGGCAGAAAUGGCUCUAUAUGUUCUUUCAUUACAGUAUUCUUAGUGCCUUUAGAGAAGUUUGAAAAUCUCCAUGAAGAUUUUUAAAAAUCAGUACUUGAUUCGGUUUUUGAUCUGAUGAAUUCUACAGAGCAGGCUUUGCCAGGACAGAGCAGUACUGGGUUCUGGCCACUCCUGGGCUGGGUGAUUCCUCCAGCCCUGCCAGAGGCGGCAGACCCCUGGGUCUUCUGGUUAAAUAGAGAUGUAUCUCUCAGGCUCUGGGAACCAAAGGAAAGGAGAGGUAUAUCUUGACUUCUCCUAUGGAAGAAGAAAAGUCCAGAAAAGGCAGACUGGGAAGAACUUGGGAUUGGAAGUCGCAAGUUUUGAAAUCCCUCCUUGCCCCACAGCUGGGACCUGUGAAUCCUGUGAACCUCUCAAUAUCCUCAUCUCCAAAAUGAGACCCUUGGUGAGGCUGAGAGGGGACCUCCCCUGGGACGGUGAGAGGCAGCGGGGCAGCAGCUCAGAGACUUGGGUCUGAAUGCUGGCUCCAUUGUAGCAUCCACACAGGCAAGUACUAAAUAAAUGAAAACUGCUAUAAUGAAUUAUUUAAGAAAGAGCCAUUUGCUCCAGGCCUCAAAGUGAGUCAGCAGGCUCCAACCCAGCAGGAGAAUUCGUGCUCAGCCCUCCUCCACACUCGCCCUUUGAGCUCCCCUUAUGGCUCUAUCUGGACAGCUGGUUCCCACUGGUCCCUUUUUUGACGGAGAAAGGAGGCUGGAGAGGAGGAGUAGCAGGAUCCUGUUCUGACAGUUGGGCCACCUGGGAGGAAAGUGAUGAAUCAGUCUCGAUGCUGCCAUGCUGGGUACUUGAGGUUUCCCAAGCUGAGGUCCAGCGCAUCCCUGACCCAGCGCUGUCAUGUGACAGCAACAAUGGCUGUCCUUUGUGCCUUCUCCCCUGCCGCACUCAGCAACCGCACAGGCUUCUCCCAGCUUCCACGUAGGAGCACAGUUUUCUGCAACCCUGCCACGAUCAAACUCCCAAGAGGGACAUGCGUAUGUGCGCAUGCGUGUGUAUGCGCAUUUGCGUGUAUGAACCUGUGCCUGCUACCUGGGGCAGGGGGCAGUGCGCUAGCUCAGUACGGUAGUGAAAGAACAAGGAACAGGGAACAAGACACCCAACCAACGAUGGCUGGACCCCAUCUGGCCGGGCCCAGCUUUAUUUAGAAGUGUGCUCAGCCGUGUUCCUGGAAGACGUCCUGCAAUGUGAUUUCCCAGUGGAGUAUUCAGUUUGGCUUAUCCUGGACCUGUAUUCUGACCCUCAUCAUCAUCUUCCUGGGUCCAGAAACAAAGCACAAGAGGUACAAGGGGGCAAAAACUCCUUUGUGAGUUACUGUUUCUAUUUAACUAAGGAAAUGAGAGAAAGGGCCACAGCUAGGGAUAUGUAUUUACGGAGAAUGUGGAGUUUAUUGGUGGAUUUUUUUCCUUUUAACUUAUAGUGUCCUGGAUUUUGCUGUAAGAAUCCCUUAGACUUCCUCUAGUUUUGGACAGAAAACAAGUCAAACAAUGGAUUCAUUCUAUUAUACUUUUAAACAACUAUUAUAAUGAAUGAUAUUAACUCCUGCAAACAAGCAAGAUUUAAACAAAGAUUUCAUUUGUACCCACAAAUAGGUACAAAUGAAAUAUCUAGCCAAACUUCAUUUGUUAUGGAGUAGCACCUCAUCUAACUUCAAUUUUGCUAAAUAAAAAAAAGAGCUUUGAUAUCUUAUUUCAGGAUUUUGCUCUGUGAAAUACAUUUUUCCAGCACAGACGGCUUACAGUAUUUGGCUUUGUCAAAAUAGCUUUGACAUUAAAAAGCCCUUAACUAAUUGUAACUUACAGAAAGAAAAAGUUAAUUUGCCUUUUAAGCAUUCCUUACUCUGCUGCAGUUGUGGG